UAUAAAACAGCAGUGGGCCUCCCACUCUCUCUCUUCCUCUUUGAGUCUUCCAAACGGCCAGAUGUACCGCAAGAAAGAAUAUCGGGUUAACUUAAAAAGGCAGCUCAAUCAAGUGUCCCACCAUACAGGAUGCUGGCAUUUGGGUGACGCCAAAGGUAAAGGUGCAAGGACAAAAGCAUCAAAUGAAAGGACAACAUGAAGAAUGAAGACGUUAUUUAUGGAUGACCAAGUUUGGUGGCUGAAAACUGCUCACUCCGGCACCUGUCUGCCUAUAUGAGCUUAUCUGGUAAUGAGCUGUAACUGAGGCCAUGUACAUGGGACUUACAGGGUGGAGGGAAAUGACAUGCCCAUGAAUCAACUGCUGCAGACUGUCCAACUAGGUGGGAACACUGCUGCAGUAGACCAACUUGCACCUGAAGCGUGACUGUAGUAGCGUAAUGGCUCCCUUUUUAAGGAAGCUGUAAUCAAAUAUUAACUCUGUAAAUGUGACGAUCAUAGAAUGUAAAUAAAACCGACACUUCUACCUCGGA